CCUACGGGAGGCAGCAGUGAGGAAUAUUGGUCAAUGGGCGCGAGCCUGAACCAGCCAAGUCGCGUGAAGGAUGACUGCCCUACGGGUUGUAAACUUCUUUUAUAAAGGAGUAAAGUGAGGCACGUGUGUCUGUUUGUAUGUACUUUAUGAAUAAGGAUCGGCUAACUCCGUGCCAGCAGCCGCGGUAAUACGGAGGAUCCGAGCGUUAUCCGGAUUUAUUGGGUUUAAAGGGAGCGUAGACGGGUUGUUAAGUUAGUUGUGAAAGUUCGCGGCUCAACCGUAAAAUUGCAACUGAUACUGGCAGUCGUGAGUGCAGUUGAGGUAGGCGGAAUGCGUGGUGUAGCGGUGAAAUGCUUAGAGAUCACGAAGAACACCGAUUGCGAAGGCAGCUUACUAAGCUGCCACUGACGUUGAUGCUCGAAAGUGUGGGGAUCAAACAGGAUUAGAUACCCCAGUAGUC
rnacentral:rRNA from 1 species